AGCGAACGCUGGCGGUAGGCUUAACACAUGCAAGUCGAACGAACCUUUCGGGGUUAGUGGCGGACGGGUGAGUAACACGUGGGAACGUGCCUUUAGGUUCGGAAUAACUCAGGGAAACUUGUGCUAAUACCGAAUGUGCCCUUCGGGGGAAAGAUUUUUCGCCUUUAGAACGGCCCGCGUCUUUUUAGCUAGUUGGUUGAUGUAAUGGCUCACCAACGCGACGACCAGUAGCUGGUGGGAGAGGAUGAUCAACCACAUUGGAGCUGAGACACGGCCCAAACUCCUACGGGAGGCAGCAGUGGAGGAUCUUGCGCAAUGGGCGGAAGGCUGACGCAGCCAUGCCGCGGGAAUGAAGGAGGUCUUAGGGUUGUAAAAUUCUUUCACCGGAGACGAUAAUGACGGUACCCGGAGAAGAAGCCCCGGCUAACUUCGUG
rnacentral:rRNA from 1 species